ensembl:lncRNA
GUGUGUGUCAGGAGGAAGAGGCGGAGCUCAGGGCCAUCUGGGAGGAGACACGUAAAUGGGUGGAGGCCCACAACAAGGAAGCUGAGCAGGGUCUGCACACGUACACGCAGGGCCUGAACCAGUUCAGUGACCUGAAAGAAGAAGAGAUAAGAGGGUGUUUACUUCCCGUGCCUGAGCUCACGCCUAUAGGGCCCAUAAUACCUCUACUGCCUUUGCCCAUUCCAGAUAACAGCACCAACUUGAACAGCCCCACUGUGGUCGAGGAGAAAUGAUUCAACGGCACGCUUUUCCACCGAGAAAUAUUAACUGUUCAAUAAUCAACAAUCCAUUUCAAACACUACAG